GCCAGGCAUGGUGGCGGGUGCCUGUAAUCCCAGUUACUGCGGAGGCUGAAGCAGGAGAAUCACUUGAGCCUGGGAGGUGAAGGUUGCAGUGAGUUGAGAUCCCACCACUGCACUCCAGCCUGGGCGACAAAGUGAGACCCUGUCUCAA
rnacentral:SRP_RNA from 1 species